GACGAACGCUGGCGGCGUGCCUAAUACAUGCAAGUCGAGCGAAUGGCGAGAAGUUUGCUUCUCUGAUUUAGCGGCGGACGGGUGAGUAACACGUGGGCAACCUGCCCUACAGAUUGGGAUAACUCAGGGAAACCUGGGCUAAUACCGGAUAAUCCUUCGAAUCACAUGUUUUGAAGUUGAAAGGCGCUUCGGCGUCACUGUAGGAUGGGCCCGCGGUGCAUUAGCUAGUUGGUGGGGUAACGGCCUACCAAGGCAACGAUGCAUAGCCGACCUGAGAGGGUGGUCGGCAACAUUGGGCCUGAGUCACGGCCCAACCUCCUCCGGGAGGAAGCAGUAGGGAAUCUUCAACAAUGGACGAAAGUCUGAUGGAGCAACGCCGCGUGAGUGAUGAAGGUUUUCGGAUCGUAAAACUCUGUUGUAAGGGAAGAACAAGUACGUUAGGAAAUGAACGUACCUUGACGGUACCUUAUUAGAAAGCCACGGCUAACUACGUGCCAGCCGCCGCAGUAA
rnacentral:rRNA from 1 species